AGAGUUUGAUCAUGGCUCAGGAUGAACGCUAGCUACAGGCUUAACACAUGCAAGUCGAGGGGCAGCAUGACCUAGCAAUAGGUUGAUGGCGACCGGCGCACGGGUGAGUAACACGUAUCCAACCUACCGGUUAUUCCGGGAUAGCCUUUCGAAAGAAAGAUUAAUACCGGAUAGUAUAACGAGAAGGCAUCUUUUUGUUAUUAAAGAAUUUCGAUAACCGAUGGGGAUGCGUUCCAUUAGUUUGUUGGCGGGGUAACGGCCCACCAAGACAUCGAUGGAUAGGGGUUCUGAGAGGAAGGUCCCCCACAUUGGAACUGAGACACGGUCCAAACUCCUACGGGAGGCAGCAGUGAGGAAUAUUGGUCAAUGGACGAGAGUCUGAACCAGCCAAGUAGCGUGAAGGAUGACUGCCCUAUGGGUUGUAAACUUCUUUUAUAUGGGAAUAAAGUGAGCCACGUGUGGCUUUUUGCAUGUACCAUACGAAUAAGGAUCGGCUAACUCCGUGCCAGCAGCCGCGGUAAUACGGAGGAUCCGAGCGUUAUCCGGAUUU
rnacentral:rRNA from 1 species